rnacentral:misc_RNA from 1 species
UAACAAGAUAUGAUGAUGACAAUGAU